rnacentral:tRNA from 1 species
AAUAUUUUAUUUUAAUUUUUAAUUAAAAAUUAAAAUAAAAUAUUUUUUAAAAUGUAGGUUAAAUUCCUAUAAAUCUUA